rnacentral:rRNA from 1 species
CCUACGGGCGGCUGCAGUGGGGAAUAUUGGACAAUGGGGGAAACCCUGAUCCAGCAAUGCCGCGUGUGUGAAGAAGGCCUGCGGGUUGUAACGCACUUUCGGUUGGGAAGAAAAGUUUGGCGCCAAUACCGCCGAACCUUGACGUUACUGACAGAAGAAGCACCGGCUAACUCUGUGCCAGCAGCCGCGGUAAUACAGAGGGAGCAAGCGUGAAUCAGGCGUGCGGGGCGUGAAGCGUAAGUCGGGUGUGAAAUCCCCGGGCGUAACCUGGGAACUGCAUUCGAUACUACAUGGCUAGAGUAUGGUAGAGGGAAGUGGAAUUUCCGGUGUAGCGGUGAAAUGCGUAGAUAUCGGAAGGAACACCAAUGGCGAAGGCAGCUUCCUGGACUAAUACUGACACUGAGGCACGAAAGCGUGGGUAGCAAACAGGAUUAGAUACCCUGGUAGUC